rnacentral:rRNA from 1 species
AUACGGAGGAUGCGAGCGUUAUCCGGAUUUAUUGGGUUUAAAGGGUGCGUAGGCUGUGCGUUAAGUCAGGGGUGAAAUGCCGUCGCUCAACGACGGAGCUGCCCUUGAUACUGGCGUGCUGGAGUACGGAUGCCGUUGGAGGAAUGAGUGGUGUAGCGGUGAAAUGCUUAGAUAUCACUCAGAACACCGAUUGCGAAGACAUCUGACGAACCCGUCACUGACGCUGAGGCACGAAAGCGUGGGGAUAGAACAGGAUUAGAUACCCUGGUAUUCCACGCCGUAAACGAUGAUGACUAACCGUCGGCGAUAGACAGCCGGUGGCCAAGCGAAAGCGAUAAGUCAUCCACCUGGGGAGUACGUCGGCAACGAUGAAACUCAAAUGAAUUGACGGGG